rnacentral:lncRNA from 1 species
GCCAGAGCUCUUCCUCCUCUGUGGACCCUGCAGCACUGAGGAGAACAGGAGCUCUCUUCUCUAAGGGUGAUGAAGAGCAGUUUCUGACGUGGAUAUAGCUGGAGGAACACAGAGACGAGCGAUGAGGUCCAUGUGAAGGGGCUGCCAGAGACCACGGGAUUAGGAUUGAGGAAGGAGAAUCUCGGCAGGACCAGAGUCUUAGAAACCCAGGAAGAUGACCUCUCUCAGGCCAAGGAGGCUGCUGACUGGUGGGUUUUCAUCUACAGAGAGUGUUGGUGUUGGCAGGAAAGGUGGGCUGGAGCCUUGAAUUAGAGGGUGUGACAUGAACAGCACAUGAGAAAAUUGAAAGAGGGAAAGUAAGUCCUCCCACAGAAAUGAAUAGGCGGA